GAAAGCACUUUUUUUUUUGUGAUAGACACCUACAAUGAGAAAACCACAUCAUUGGAAGGUUCUUAAUGAACCCUGCUAAUCCAUAGCUCAGGACAACUCAGAAGAGUUUGGAGGAAGCAGAAGCGGCAUCUCUUUCUGUUCAGUGAUUUGUUGCUUGUGUCUAAUACCAAGUAUAGAAAAUGCUUUUGGAUUAAAAAAUAAAAUACCACUGAACAACCUGUGGACAGCCAAUGGUGUGGACAAAGUUGGGAAAGGCCGCACCUGUGCUGGGAGAUCCCUUCUCUUGGCCUGGCCCCUGGUGAAUUUAAUGGCCAUCUUCUGCUCUUCAGAACUAAAGGAACACUGGUGCUCUUUCCUUCCAAGGUACAUCAAUCUAGCCAAAGAGAAAGACCACCUGAAAGCAUUCGCCUUCAAAUCUUCACUGAGGACAUCAAGAAAUGUGUCUCUAUAUAGCCACAACAGUAACAAAUUCAGACACAAUAAAUGACAUCAUCAACAUGUCACUACUAAAGCUAGGAAUAACUGGCACAGUAGUGCAAGGCCAAUGUUGUUCUCUUGUGAUACCUUUUUGGAGUGUUACAUAACAUUGAGCAGCAUUCCUCAGCCAAUCAGAUGACAGCUUAUAAUUUAUCCAUGUGUAUAGCCCCAAGCAUUCUUUAGCUGUCUACUUCCUGCUGCUCAGAAGUAGAAAAUGGGUUCACGAAAAAGGUUUCUACUGUACAAUUUCUCAUUGAAAACUGCCUCAGCAUUUUUUAAGAAGACAUCACUUCCCCCUUGGGGAAGAAAGAACUCAAUGACUUGAAGAAACUGAUGCUUCAG
rnacentral:lncRNA from 10 species